rnacentral:rRNA from 1 species
UACGAAGGGGGGCUAGCGUUGCUCGGAAUCACUGGGCGUAAAGGGUGCGUAGGCGGGUCUUUAAGUCAGGGGUGAAAUCCUGGAGCUCAACUCCAGAACUGCCUUUGAUACUGAAGAUCUUGAGUUCGGGAGAGGUGAGUGGAAUUCCUAGUGUAGAGGUGAAAUUCGUAGAUAUUAGGAAGAACACCAGUGGCGAAGGCGGCCCCACUGGAUCGGUACUGACACUGAGGUGCGAAAGCGGUGGGGAGCAAACAGG